rnacentral:rRNA from 1 species
UACGGGGGGGGGCAAGCGUUGUUCGGAAUUACUGGGCGUAAAGGGCGCGUAGGCGGUUCGCUAAGUUGGAUGUGAAAACUCCAGGCUCAACCUGGAGACGCCACCUGAUACUGCUGUGGCUAGAGUCCGGUAGGGGAGCAUGGAAUUCCUGGUGUAGCGGUGAAAUGCGCAGAUAUCAGGAGGAACACCAGUGGCGAAGGCGGUGCUCUGGGCCGGAACUGACGCUGAGGAGCGAAAGCGUGGGGAGCGAACAGG